CGGGACCCCCGCAACUCGGAACCCCGGCAUCCCAGGAGCCCCUCCCUCUGCACUCUGGGACCCCAGAACCCCCACACCCUGGAACCCCAGCACCCCGGACCUCAGAAUCCUGGGAUCCCAGGACCUCAGAACCCCGGGACCCCACCGCCCCUGCACUUUGGAACCCAUGGGCCCCGGAACCUGCAGGACCCCAGCACCCCCACACGCCAGCACUAGGAUCUUGGAACUCCAGCUGCUUGGAACCCCCAGCAUUCCAGGACCCCCACGCUCUGCACCCUGGGACCCUCGCACCCAGCACCCCAGCACCUCUGGACCACAGCACCCCGAGACACCUGCACCGCCGUACCCCAGCACACCUGGGAUCGCCAGCACACCAGCAUCCUGAGACGCCCACACCCCCAGCAUGCUGGGACCCUGAGACCCCUGCACCCCAGGACCCCUGCACCCUGGGACCCUGGCACCUUCAGCAUCCCCGCACCAUGGCACCCCUGCACCCAGGGACCCCCCAGUAUCCCAGAACCCUGGGCUCUCUGGAAGCUCCACACCUCCAGACCCACAACCAUACCUAGCAGUUGGAACCCAGCAUCCUGGGACCCUCAGCACCCCCACACCCUGGCACCCCAGGAGCCCUGCACCGUGAUACCCCAGAACCUCAGUAACCCAACACCCCUGGGCACCCCGGGACCCCCCAGGCACCUCUCCACCUUUGGCACCCUGGCACCCUCAGCACCCACACACCAUGAGACCCCAGGACCCCCUGGCACCCCAUCACCCCCCGAGCACCCCCGAACUCCAGCACCCUUGGGCACCCACACAGGGUCACCCACCCUGGUACACCCAGCUAGGGACACUGGCACAGGGGCACCUGCACAGGGACUCGCACCCUGGAGCCCCCACCCCGUGUCACGGCACAAGCUCUUUCCCCUGAGCCACGUUGAGGCUGAAUCCUGGUCUCUGUGGCCAGGGGACAGGAACUGACUCCUGGGGUGAGGGUGGGUGACAGCCCCAGGGACCUCAGAACAUCCAGAGGCACCACCGGUGCUUCCUUUGGUGGCUUUUUGACUUAUUAAGCGCAAAGGGACAACUCUCCAGGGACAACUCUCUGCAGCAGACAGCUUUUAACGGGGCAGCUCUACACUGGGAGGGUUAGGGUUUGGGGCUCACCGUGUAGAGUUGCUCCUGUGGAGUGUUUACUCCACAGGACCCUUUACUAAACGAGAAAUCAGAAGCUCAGUACAUCACUGCUCCCAUCAAAGUUGAAGCUGUUUGAAUGCAAGAGUGGCAAUUGAGGAGGCACCAGGUGGGACCUUUGCUGAGUCCAUCACCAAUGGGCCAGGUGAGGUCUUUGGAGGCCGUACUGGCAGCUGCUGCUCUCCUUGCACCUCUCCAUUGCAACAGCAGAGCCCAAGGUGACCGUUGGAGUUUUGGAGACCACAUGGUUCUGUUUACGUGCAAGCACACUGCUGGUCCAGGAUGUGGCUGCCACACCACGUGCUCCCUGCCCUUCUGGGUCACACCUUCCCCCUCUGCCAGACACGCAGCUCGUGCGAUGGAGAAGGUGCUGCUGGAGGAAGACAGGAUGGCCUCAGUCAGCAUCCAGCCCAGAGGAGUGCCAGCAGAGAGACCCCCCCUCUUGGGGACGUCCUCUUUGGGAUGUCCAUCCUCCAUCUCGGAGAUGCCAAUGCUCAUCCUUGCAAAGCCAAGCACAGUUCUCAUGUGUGCUCAUCACCCUGGGUGCUCCUGGGGCCCAGAGGCUCCUGCUCCAUCUCUCUCUCCACUCCUGUUCCAUCUUUCUCCACACAGAACUUAUUAGCCAUGGGCUUUGACCAGGAGCUGCCCGUGGGACAGGUCUCCCCUCCCAAGCUCCACCACCUUUGCAGCCCCCUUCCCUCCAUCUCCUCUUUUCUGCUUACAGGCAAGAGAUGGGUAUCGUUUGGUUUUUGAGAAAGGCUGCAAAAAACCUUUUAUGAUCUGGCUUCG